rnacentral:rRNA from 1 species
AUUGAACGCUGGCGGAAUGCUUUACACAUGCAAGUCGAACGGCAGCACGGGGGCAACCCUGGUGGCGAGUGGCGAACGGGUGAGUAAUACAUCGGAACGUGCCCAGUCGUGGGGGAUAACGUAGCGAAAGCUACGCUAAUACCGCAUACGAACUCUGGUUGAAAGCGGGGGAUCGCAAGACCUCGCGCGAUGGGAGCGGCCGAUGGCAGAUUAGGUAGUUGGUGGGGUAAAGGCUCACCAAGCCGACGAUCUGUAGCUGGUCUGAGAGGACGACCAGCCACACUGGGACUGAGACACGGCCCAGACUCCUACGGGAGGCAGCAGUGGGGAAUUUUGGACAAUGGGCGCAAGCCUGAUCCAGCCAUUCCGCGUGCAGGAUGAAGGCCCUCGGGUUGUAAACUGCUUUUGUACGGAACGAAACGGUCCUGGUUAAUACCCGGGGCUAAUGACGGUACCGUAAGAAUAAGCACCGGCUAACUACGUGCCAGCCGCCGCGGUAA